CCAAAUUUGGGAUCCCCUGAGCCCCCAAACCCCAAUUUUGGGAUCCCCUGAGCCCCCAAACCCCAAAUUUUGGGGUCCCCACCCCAAUUUCGGGGUCUGUGACCUCCCCUCCCCCCCCAGAGUCCUCGCUGGGGGUGGGGCAGAGCCGCCGGUGGGCGGAGCUUCGGCGGGGGGCGGAGCUUCGGCUGCUGGGGGCGGAGCCGGGCUCUGAUUGGCUGAGCCGCGUCCAGCAGGGGGCGCUAAAGCCCCCCCAGCAAAGGCCAGGCCAGUCCUGGGUGGAGCUUUCGGCCAUCUUGGCCUCGGGGGCGGAGCCGGAAGUGCUGGUGUCAAUCAAGGCUUUAUGCAAAUCCAGGGAGGCGGAGCUACAUUGGGCCCAUCCCCCCAGG